AGCCAUGGGGUGUUAUAGGGUGCUAUGAGGUGUUGGGGUGGGUGUGGAGGGCUAUGGGGUGCAUUGGGGGCUAUGGGGUGUAUCGGGGUACUAUGGGGUGCUGGGGGCUGUGGCGUGCAUUGGGAGCUAUGUGGGCUAUGGGAACCUAUUGGGGGCUUUGGGGUGCAUGGGGGGUUUAUGCGGGGCCUGGGGCUCUAUGGGGUGCAUGGGUGUCUGUGGGGUGUACUGGGGUGCUAUGGGAUACAUGGGAGUCUAUGGGGUGCAUGGGUGUCUAUGGGUGUCUAUGGGGUGCAUGGGUGUCUAUGGGGUGCAUGGGGGUCUAUGGGUGUCUAUGGGGCACUAUGGGGUGCAUGGGUGUCUAUGGGGUGCAUGGGGGUCUAUGGGGGUCUAUGGGGCUCUAUGGGGUGCAUGGGGCACUAUGGGUGUCUACGGGGCGCUAUGGGGUGCUAUGGGUGUCUAUGUGUGUCUAUGGGGUGCACAAACCCCCCUUGAUUCCCCCCCAGUUUUGUCAGCUUGGGAACUUCUCCAUCCACGUGGCCCUGAGGAACCUGCGCCCUGCGGGUGAGGACAUGGGCAUGGCUUGGUCACGUGUGUGCGGGGUCACGUGUGUGCGCAGGGUCACGUGUGUGCGGGGUCACAUGUGCUCUGGGUCACGUGUGCGCUGGGACGUGUAUGCGGGGUCACGUGUGUGUGGGGUCAUGUGUGUGCAGGGUAAUGUGUGUGCAAGGUCACGUGUGCACGGGGUCAUGUGUGUGGGUUCACAUGUGUGUGGGUUCACGUGUGUGCUGGGACACGUGUGUGCGGGGUCAUGUGUGUGUGGGGUCACAGGGGACACACAUGGGGGUUACACAUGGGGUCACACAUGUGUCAGAAUGUCACAUGUCACAGGUGUCACACAUGUGUUACAUACAUGUUCUGUGCUGCAUAGUACAUUACACACGUGUUGCAUGUUACACGUGUCAUAUAUGUGUUAUGAGUUACACAUGUAUCACAUACAUGUUACAUGUUCUGUGAUACAUCAUACAUAUUACAGACAUGUUAUGCAUUGCAUACAUGUUACACGCAUGCCAUAUGUUACACACAUGACGUGUCCCACGUGUGCUCCGUACGUGUCAUGUGACCCAUCCCUGGCACACGUCACAUGCAUGUCCCACGUGUGCUCGUGUCACGUGACCCAUCCAUGGCACACGUCACAUGCGUGUCCCACAUGUGCUCAUGUCACGUGACCCCCCCCCGGCACACGUGACACG
rnacentral:lncRNA from 14 species